GACGUAGGGCGCGAGCGUUGUCCGGAUUUAUUGGGCGUAAAGAGCGCGCAGGCGGUCGUGCAAGUCGCGUGUGAAAGCCCCCGGCUCAACUGGGGAGGGUCACGCGAUACUGCUCGACUCGAAGGCAGGAGAGGGAAGUGGAAUUCCCGGUGUAGUGGUGAAAUGCGUAGAUAUCGGGAGGAACACCAGUGGCGAAGGCGACUUCCUGGCCUGUUCUUGACGCUGAGGCGCGAAAGCUAGGGUAGCAAACGGG
rnacentral:rRNA from 1 species